UGGGGAAUCUUGGACAAUGGGGGCAACCCUGAUCCAGCGACGCCGCGUGGGUGAUGAAGGCCUUAGGGUUGUAAACCCCUUUCACCGGGGAGGAUGAUGACGUUACCCGGAGAAGAAGCACCGGCUAACUCCGUGCCAGCAGCCGCGGUAAUACGGAGGGAGCUAGCGUUGUUCGGAAUUACUGGGCGUAAAGCGCGCGUAGGCGGCUAUCCAAGUCAGGGGUGAAAUCCCGGGGCUCAACCCCGGAACUGCCCUUGAAACUAGGUAGCUAGAAUACUGGAGAGGUGAGUGGAAUUCCGAGUGUAGAGGUGAAAUUCGUAGAUAUUCGGAAGAACACCAGUGGCGAAGGCGACUCACUGGACAGUUAUUGACGCUGAGGUGCGAAAGCGUGGGGAGCAAACAGGAUUAGAUACCCCCGUAGUCC
rnacentral:rRNA from 1 species